rnacentral:rRNA from 1 species
GAUGAACGCUGGCGGCGUGCCUAAUACAUGCAAGUCGAGCGAACAGACGAGGAGCUUGCUCCUCUGACGUUAGCGGCGGACGGGUGAGUAACACGUGGAUAACCUACCUAUAAGACUGGGAUAACUUCGGGAAACCGGAGCUAAUACCGGAUAAUAUAUUGAACCGCAUGGUUCAAUAGUGAAAGACGGGUUUGCUGUCACUUAUAGAUGGAUCCGCGCCGCAUGAGCUAGUUGGUAAGGUAACGGCUUACCAAGGUAACGAUGCGUAGCCGACCUGAGAGGGUGGUCGGCCACACUGGAACUGAGGAACGGUCCAGACUCCUACGGGAGGACGCAGUAGGGAAUCUUCCGCAAUGGGGGAAAGCGGGACGGAGCAACGCCGCGUGAGGGAUGAAGGUCUUCGGAUCGGAGAACUCUGUUAGUAGGGAAGAACAAAUGUGUAAGUAACUAUGCACGUCUUGACGGUACCUAAUCAGAAAGCCACGGCUAACUACGUG